rnacentral:rRNA from 1 species
CCUACGGGAGGCAGCAGUGAGGAAUAUUGGUCAAUGGACGCAAGUCUGAACCAGCCAAGUAGCGUGCAGGAUGACGGCCCUCCGGGUUGUAAACUGCUUUUAGUUGGGAAUAAAAGGGGGCUCGUGAGCCCCGUAUUGUCUGUACCAUCAGAAAAAGGACCGGCAAAUUCCGUGCCAGCAGCCGCGGUAAUACGGGAGGUCCGGGCGUUAUCGGAAUUUAUGGGGUUUAAAGGGAUCGUAGGCCGGCUUUUAAGUCAGCGGUGAAAGUCCGGGCUCAACCGUGGAAUUGCAGUUGAAACUGGAGGCCUUGAGUGCACACAGGGAUGCUGGAAUUCAUGGUGUAGCGGUGAAAUGCGUAGAUAUUAGGAGGAACACCAGUGGCGAAGGCGGUCUGCUGGACAGCAACUGACGCUGAGGCGCGAAAGCGUGGGGAGCAAACAGGAUUAGAUACCCUUGUAGUC